CCUACGGGUGGCAGCAGUGAGGAAUAUUGGUCAAUGGGCGCAAGCCUGAACCAGCCAAGUCGCGGGAGGGAAGACGGUCCUAUGGAUUGUAAACCUCUUUUGUUGGGGAGCAAAAGACGCCACGCGUGGCGUUCCGCGAGUACCCGAAGAAACAGCAUCGGCUAACUCCGUGCAAGCAGCCCCGGUAAUACGGAGGAUGCGAGCGUUCUCUGGAUUUAUGGGGUUUAAAGGGUGCGCAGGCGGAAGAUCAAGUCAGAGGUAAAAUUGAGAGGCUCAACCUCUUCGAGCCGUUGAAACUGGUUUUCUUGAGUGAAGGAGAAGUAUGCGGAAUGCGUGGUGUAGCGGUGAAAUGCAUAGAUAUCACGCAGAACACCGAUUGCGAAGGCAGCAUACCGGCGCUCAACUGACGCUCAUGCACGAAAGUGUGGGUAUCGAACAGGAUUAGAUACCCCUGUAGUC
rnacentral:rRNA from 1 species